rnacentral:tRNA from 1 species
AGGUCAGUGGCUCAAUUGGCAGAGCACUGGUCUCCAAAACCGGGGGUUGCAAGUUCGAGUCUUGCCGGGCAUGCCA